rnacentral:rRNA from 1 species
UACAGAGGGUGCAAGCGUUGUUCGGAAUUAUUGGGCGUAAAGGGCGCGUAGGCGGUUCGGCAAGUCUCUAGUGAAAUCUCUGGGCUCAACUCAGAGUCUGCUGGGGAAACUGCCGGGCUUGAGUGUGGGAGAGGAGAGUGGAAUUCCCAGUGUAGCGGUGAAAUGCGCAGAUAUCAGGAGGAACACCGGUGGCGAAGGCGGGUCUCUGGGCCGAUACUGACGCUGAGGAGCGAAAGCGUGGGGAGCGAACAGG